GAUGAACGCUGGCGGCGUGCCUAAUACAUGCAAGUCGAGCGAAGCGGGGACGGGUGAGUAAAACGUGGAUAACCUCCUAUAAGACUGGGAUACCUUCGGGGAACCGGAGCUCAAUCGGACACUUAUAGAUGGAUCCAGGCUGCAUUAGCUAGUUGGUAAGGUAACGGCUUACCAAGGCAACGAUGAAUAGCCGACCGGAGAGGGUGAUCGGCAAAACUGGAACUGAGAAACGGUCCAGACUCCUACGGGAGGCAGCAGUGGGGAAUCUUCCGCAAUGGGCGAAAGCCUGACGGAGCAACGCCGCGUGAGUGAUGAAGGUUUUCGGAUCGUAAAACUCUUUUAUUAGGGAGGCGGUACCUAAACAGAAAGCCACGGCUAACUACGUGCCAGCAGCCGCGGUAAUAC
rnacentral:rRNA from 1 species